UACGUAGGUCCCGAGCGUUGUCCGGAUUUACUGGGUUUAAAGGGUGCGUAGGCGGCUUGGUCAGUCGGUGAUGAAAUGUCGGGGCUUAACCUCAGACGCUGUUAUCGAUACUGCUAGGCUAGAGACUCGUGGAGGCAGCUGGAAUGAGUGGUGUAGCGGUGAAAUGCGUAGAGAUCACUCAGAACACCAAUUGCGAAGGCAGGUUGCUGCGCGAGAACUGACGCUGAGGCACGAAGGCAUGGGGAUCAAACAGG
rnacentral:rRNA from 1 species